ACUGACGCUGAGUCCCGAAAGCGUGGGGAGCAAAUAGGAUUAGAUACCCUAGUAGUCCACGCCGUAAACGAUGAGUACUAAGUGUUGGGGGUCGAACCUCAGUGCUGCAGUUAACGCAAUAAGUACUCCGCCUGAGUAGUACGUUCGCAAGAAUGAAACUCAAAGGAAUUGACGGGGGCCCGCACAAGCGGUGGAGCAUGUGGUUUAAUUCGAAGCAACGCGAAGAACCUUACCAGGUCUUGACAUAUAUCUAAAGGCUCCAGAGAUGGAGAGAUAGUUAUAGAUAUACAGGUGGUGCAUGGUUGUCGUCAGCUCGUGUCGUGAGAUGUUGGGUUAAGUCCCGCAACGAGCGCAACCCUUGUCGUUAGUUACCAUCAUUAAGUUGGGGACUCUAACGAGACUGCCAGUGAUAAGCUGGAGGAAGGCGGGGAUGACGUCAAAUCAUCAUGCCCCUUAUGACCUGGGCUACACACGUGCUACAAUGGAUAGUGCAAAGGGAAGCGAGACCGCGAGGUGGAGCAAAACCCAUAAAACUAUUCUCAGUUCGGAUUGUAGUCUGCAACUCGACUACAUGAAGUUGGAAUCGCUAGUAAUCGUGAAUCAGCAUGUCACGGUGAAUACGUUCUCGGGCCUUGUACACACCGCCCGUCACACCAUGAGAGUUGAUAACACCCGAAGCCGGUGGCCUAACCGCAAGGAAGGAGCUGUCUAAGGUGGGAUUGAUGAUUAGGGUGAAGUCGUAACAAGGUAUCCCUACGGGAACGUGCGGCUGGAUCACGGACCUU
rnacentral:rRNA from 1 species